rnacentral:lncRNA from 1 species
AAAAAGUAAGAUUUCCUACCAUCGAGCAUAUUGGCUUUCAUUUAUUAUAGAACAAUUUCGCUUACACGGUAUGAUUGGUAACUUGAGAAGUGCAACGACACACAAACAGGUUACAACAAAAAAUUCACUUAACCAAAAUUAAAUAUAUAACAUCCUAACACUCCUCAAUACCGAACUCACUAUUAAACACAUCCGUCUCGAACUGGACCCAAACUAGACUAAACUCUAAAAGUGCGGAAAGAAAUAAACGGGAAAAGAGCUGCCAUUAUUCGACACAAUAGAAUACUAGAAAGACAAGAGUCCGAACGAAAAACCACAUAGGGAAACCGAGGACAGAGACAAAAUUAAAAGACACUUUUACUAGGCGGCGGCAAUAGGACUGAUUGGCGGGGAAAGAUGUUGCUGGAGUCGAUCUCCCCUCCGCAAUCCCGAUGACGAUUUAUGUAAUUGAGCGGGUCAUUUCUGGCUAACCCACCUGGACCACUAUUAUUGGGUGUGGUUAUCCUUUUUUGGGGUGUCCACCAAGUCACUGGUUGCUGCGUCCGACAUUGGUGAGCAGUGGAUGGUUGUCGAAGCUGGGUGUAGUUCGACAAGUUUGGUCGAUAGCAUGUUGUUGGUGCGGACUAUAAGCCGGGACAGUGGACUUUGAAAGAGAGUUGUGGUGUUGGUAGGGUAGAGGACGGAAAAUAAGACGGGACGGUUGAUGGUUGCAGAAGUCAGCGGAGGGGAGCGGCGAGAGGAGAACAGUCCCAAAUGGGGAGGGGUCAAACCCUAGCAUAAGG